UACGUAGGGUGCAAGCGUUAAUCGGAAUUACUGGGCGUAAAGCGUGCGCAGGCGGUUUUGUAAGUCUGACGUGAAAGCCCCGGGCUCAACCUGGGAAUUGCGUUGGAGACUGCAAGGCUUGAAUCUGGCAGAGGGGGGUAGAACUCCACGUGUAGCAGUGAAAUGCGUAGAGAUGUGGAGGAACACCGAUGGCGAAGGCAGCCCCCUGGGUCAAGAUUGACGCUCAUGCACGAAAGCGUGGGGAGCAAACAGG
rnacentral:rRNA from 1 species